CUUAGUCUAGGAAUUUCUUAGUUUUCUUCAAGGUCUUUUGAAAAUUGUGGAAAUUUUAAACGAGUCUUAUUAGUAUAGCAAUUUUGUUUUAUCAGGUCUUGUCUUUGGUAAUUCCUUUCUUUGUGUAAUAUAUCACCAUUUUCUGAAUUUACUAGGGUUUUGUUGUUGUUAUUGUUGUUUUAGUAUUUUUUCUUCAAUAGAACCAUUUUAGAAAUCUCCAGUAUGAUUUAACCAAAAUGAGGAAAGGAAAUAAUACCUUUUAAUGGUAUUGACUUUGUUAGUUAAUUAGAUUGUCACUUUAAAAAAAUAUAAUUAACUAUACUUUGAGAUAAUAGACAAUAAAUGUGAUUUUAAAGACACAAAAUACAUGGGUCUUUAGCAACUAAGAUGUUGAUAAAGCUUUUGUUUUCUGAAAUUUUCCCUAAUUUGAUCAUUUUUAAAUAUUCUGAAUAUUGACAGCGGUAGUAUUGAUACUUUGCCACUUACUGUGAGCAACAAGUUUAUAUUGAUUAUCUUAUUGAAAUGUAAAGUAAAAUUUUAAUACUCUGUUUGAACUUAUUUAUUAUAUUUCUAACUUAGAAUUUUUUGGGUUAUGUUAAUGAUAAAUAUAAACUAUGAAUACUUGGAUUAAUAAUGUCAUCAAAUAAGAUUGAGCAUUAAAGCCUUUUACUGCCUGUGUCAGUUACUUUUCUCAUUUCAGUGACAGAAAUACUUGAGAGGGAAGGCUUAUUUGAUUUACUAUUUCAAAAGAUUUCAGUCCUUCAUGGUAGGGAAGGCAUGAAGGCUGAGCAACUUGAGCUUUCAGAGUUCUGUAUAGGAAAAUGAGGCACAGCUCCUAACACAGCAGCCAGGCAGAGAAGCAAAGAGUGGGACCUUUAAUUCUGGUACCAUGACUGCUAGUACUCAGGCAGGUUUUUAGGUUAGAACCAGCUCAGAUCCGCUGGGUCUUGUGUCCAAAGUACAUGGUGUACUCAACAAUAUGGACAUACGUCAACUUUUUGGAGGCAACAAUGGACAAUAGCAAUAGUCUGUGUUUUGGGAUUUUCUUAGAUAGCCCUGACUAACAACCUAAAGGGGGCUUUUCAUGUCUGGUGUUAGGGGUUGUUAGUCUGUGACUUAUGGAGAGUCCAGAUGAAAAAGAUCAUCUAAACUGUGUAUGUAUAUCUAUACACAGAUGCAAGUAUCGUGUAUAAACUUACAUAUCUGUGAUUCCUUGUGAUUUUUUUCUGACACAUUUACCUCCUCCUCCUUCUGUAUUAGUCUUUCUCCCUCCUCCCUAACUUCUGAGAAAAUAUUUCUUAAAUGAAUGAGUUAUUAAUAAAAUAAAUUGGGCUGGAGAGAUGGCUCAGUGGUUAAGAGCAUUGACUGCUCUUCCAGAGGUCCUGAGUUCAAAUCCCAGCAACCACAUGGUGGUUCACAACCAUCUGUAAUGGGAUCUGAUGCCAUCUUCUGGUGUGUCUGAAGACAACAACAGUGUACUCAUAUAUAAUAAAUAAAUAAAUAAAUAAAUAAAUAAAUAAAUAAAUAAAUAAAUAAAUCUUUAAAAAAUAAAAUAAAUUAUGUUCAGUUAUCUAAAUUUCUCUAGGUAUUUAGUUGUAUUGGUGCUUUAUUUGUUUUAUUUAAAGAAGUAAAGUAUUUAGUACCUAUAUAUAUUAUGAAUAUCAACCCAUAGCUUCAUUAUAUUUUGAUUUUUGUAGUGCUAGGAUACAAACCCAAGGCCCUACCUAUACUAGGCUGGUAGUCUGCUAAUGAGCUAUGUCCUUAACCCUUAGUCAGUUUGUUUGUUUUAUUUUUCUUUGUUUUCUUACUUUUUAUUUUUUAGAUUAUACUUUAAAAUAAUAUCUAUAUAUGUAUGUACACAUAUAUGUAUAUAUUCAGGUUUUUUAUGUAUAUAAACAUAAUCGUAUAGCUACAAAUGACCUUGUCAAAUCUUAUGUAAACUAAAUUAUAUUUUAGAUUUUAGGUUCACAUUCUCUGAUCACAUAAAGUAUUAAGCUUGCCUAAAUUAGACAAAAUAUGUACAUGUUAGCUGAAUCAUAUUGGUAGAAAUAUAAUAAAAUGAAAAUAUCUCUCAUCAAACUGUUUUUCCUGUUUUAUUUUUAUCCCAUACAUCCCUAGCAAUGACCUAACUAUUAUUCUGGAAAGUCAUAUGGUCCCUCAAAAAAAAAAUAUAAUGAUGGAUUUGAUUGGUUGUUUGAAAGCUCUACUAAUGAACACAUUCCCCUUAAACUUAAUAAUAGCCACAUUUUACAUGUCAGUCUUUCCAUGUCUUUGAGUUCAGUAUAGACAGAUUACGGCUGAUACAGAAUAUAUGAUUUCUUAGGAAUUUAGUUAUUUAUAUGCUUAUAUUGCUUUUAUUUUUUUUUUUAUUUUUUUUAUUUUUUGGAGCUGGGGACCGAACCCAGGGCCUUGCGCUCGCUCUACCACUGAGCCAAACCCCCAAUCCCGCUUUUAUUUAAAUUUAAGCAUCUUUAUGUUACUCUAAAUUGGCAUGACUCAUUUAGGCCAUAAAUUUUCCUUUCCAUGGUGUUUAUUUAUUUAUGAUAUCAUUGUGUCAUAUUUUGAGUUUCCUUUAUGUGGGUUGCACUUUUACUUUCAAGAAACAACUACAAUAAAAUAAUCCACACACUACUAUUCACAUUUAGUUUUGUUCAUGAAAAUAUUUUUAAUCUUAUUUUCAUCAUAUCUAUAGGCACACUUUUAUCAUCAGAUAGAUAGAGAGAGAGAGAGAGUGAGUGUGUGUGUGUGUGUGUGUGUGUGUGUGUGUGUGUGUGUAUGUGUGUGUGUGUGUGUGUGUAGGUAUACUUGGAAUCCCUGAAAAGUAAAGUAAGAUAGGGAGAUAAAAAUACGAGACCUUAGAUAUUACACAGUACAAAAGUAACCUUAAAACCAGUCCUAAGAUGCCCACUCUGCCCGUUUCUUUCCUUCUCCUGUUCUGAGACUUUAUUUUUGCAUAGUGAUGGAGACUAAACAAGUGCCUUGAGCAUAUGAGGCAAGCAGUGUACUCUAAGCUACGUCCCCUACUGUGAACUCUUUAAUUUCCGGAGCCAAGGACACCACCUCAGACUGCUUCAACCUGAAAGUGUUUGACUUUGUUAAUCACCCCCCCCCCCCCCUUGAUAACACUUGGCCUCCCUUAGAUUCAUGAAAUGGUUUCCUUCCAGUCCCUUUACUGACUGAGCCUUGUUUGCCUUUUUCUCUGUACUGUUUUCCUCUGGUGAAUUCAGUAAAUAAAUGGAGAAUGAACAAGUUAGAGUAAAGAAAAUUUUCCUAGUUAGAAAAAAAUAAACUUAUUGUGUGUCUGUUUUUUUAUCAGUACACGUGUGUUAUCCUGUGUAUGGAGUAGGAGAACAGCUUGCAGGAGUAGUUUACUCCUACCAUUUGGACCUUGGGAUCAAAUUAAGGUGGUCAGGCUUGGUGGCAAAUGCCUUCCUUCACUGAGUCCUCUUUUUGACUCAGCUUCUCCUAUUAUUCCAAAUGGAUCCCUGAAAUUUUCUCUCCUAAAGCUAGAACUUCAACCACCUUUUAAUUUCAUCCUUUUCCAUACAAAAACUUAAUUCUGUAGCUUCAGGACUCAUUUUUAAUUAAAAUAAAUCAGUUGCUAGUCCUGUUUUAAGCUGUUUGAUUUUUAUUUAUGUGUAGGUGCAUAUGUCUCUAAGAAUGUGUGUAGUUGCCCACAGAGGCCAGCAGAGGGCAUUAAAGCAGCUGGAGCUGGAGUUGACAAGUGUCAUAAGCUACCUGGCAGGGAUGCUAAAAAAUGGCACUCUGGUCCACUGUGAGAGCAGCAUGCACUUUUAGCUAUUGAGUCAUUUCUUCGGACUCCCCUCCUGAGUGUUCUCAGGCUCACAUUCCUAUUUACAUCUUGUUGGGUACAGCCCACAUGACAUAUAGGAGGCACUACCUGUGACACGGGAGUUUCAGUUCCUCCUUUUCAAUUCCCCUACACCCUUUUCCUAUGCCAUUAGAUCCCUUUCCUGCAUAGCACCAGAAAAUAGUAUAGUAUUGAUGCUAUGCUUUCUUUAAUUCUUUCCUUAUAUUAAGAUCAUAGACUUAUGGUAUAUAAGUGAAUGAAUUUUUUUCUCUCCAGUUUCCCAGGAAAUGGUAGACUUUUAAACCUUUGUGUGUUUUUAGACUUUGUGUGUUGGGUUCUUUGCAUAGCCAACUGAUAUACCUAGUUCUGUUGAAAAGAUACUUCCUACUUGAUACUUCUUGGAACAGACUUUGUCACAACUACUCAGUACCAUUUGUUUUUAUAUGGAAAUGAUUUUUAAAACAAUAAAAAUAUUUAUUUAAAAAUUUGAUGCUAGUUUUAUUUUUGGUACAAAGGCAUAAUUACUAUACUUAAAAUUUUGUCCUGUGUUUUACUGCUUAGUACUAGAAUUAAAGGCAACUGAAAUCCUGUUACAUACAUACCAUUUCACACUUCUCUUUUCUGAUACAUUUAAAAUCUUCUUUGAAGAAAGAAAUGUUCUAUCUCCUCAGAGGCUUGGCCUAUUAUUAUUUCCACACUUGCUAGAUUCCUAAACCGUUACAUUGUACAAAAUGGAGCAUGAAGUGUAUGUAUCUUUCUGAGCAAAGAAGGUAUGAUAACUAAAACCUAUAUCAUGUAGAAAUUGAUUCACUCUUCUACACAGCUGUAAUCUACUUGGUAGGGACCAUGAAUGAGUGAUAAAUAAUUUAACUGAUCUUUUAUUAGCUUUACAUUUCACAUAAACUCUAGUGGUUUCUGUAGAGUAUAAUCACCACCGUUUGAAAAUGUGUUUUAUAAUAUACAAUAAAUUUUAAGCGUUGAAUUUAAGUAAUAUAACAAUACUUGUAGAAUAUUUAAGAAAUUUUUAAAAAUAGUUUUUACUCUUCAAAAUAAUAUGCCAACUGAGAAUAUUAACCUUCAUAAAUUUUGAAAUUUAGGGACAGAAUUUUUUUAAUAUUUUAUUUUAGUCCUUUAUAUAAUAAGUACUGCCUUAAUAUGUUGCAGAGUAUAUUAGUCAUUCAUAAGAUAUAUGUGUAUAAGCUUCUUUAUAUCUAGAGAGAUGAUAGCAAAAGGGAGAGAAGGAAGGAGUUAUUUCUUGUUAUCCAUGAAAGAUUUGUUGUAGGACCCUGCAGAUACAAAACUUUCUACUUGCUCUUGUCUCAUAAAGUGGUACAAUAUUUGCAUAUAACAUGCAUAUAUCUAUUUAUUUCUUUCCUACAGUAAGCAUAUCUGUAUAAUUCUGUGUAAAUAGUUGUUAAACUGUUGUUAAGAAAUAAUGACAGGAAACAUAUCUAUACAUGUUUGAUAUAUGUGUAUAUGUGAAUAUUUUUUAUCCACACCUUGAAUCUAAGGAUAUGGAACCUACAACUAAUGAAAAGGGCUACUAUUCUAGUCAUUCAAUUUACGUAUGAUUUAAAUAUUUUAUUUUAUUUACUAAUGUCUUCUUUUAAAAAUGUGCAUACACUGAGUGUUGAUGAUGCACCUUUAAUCCCAGAACUCAGAAAACAAAAGGAAGUGAAUUUCUGAAUUUUGAGACCAGCAGAGUCUAUAGGGCAAGUUCCAGAACAGCCAGAGCUGCAAAGAGAAACCCUAUCAAAAAGCAAAACUGUAUGGGCACUAUGUUCUCAUCUGUGGUAUGUGCAGUAAUAUGACACAAAGCUUUAGAUAGUCACAUGUAACAUUGCAAUGUAGGACUGUUAGAUCAGACCAAUAAAGUAGAAUUCUGAUCAAAAUAACAUGCCAAACUGGGUAUAUAAAGACUGGUGAGCCCUCAAUCCCACACAGUGCCACAGUUACUUGAGGAAAGCUUGGAGUAGGAGAGGUGAUCCACCCCAGUGACAAGCACACCAAUUAGUUAGUCGUAUAAUACUCAAAUGGUUAGCCCUGAAAACAUGCAGAUGCUAGAUGUAGAUCUAGUAGAAAUAGAAGACAGAAUUAUAGAUAUAAUAAAAAAAGCCCAACAUAUAAAAGCCCAACAGUGGUCAGUGGCCAUCAAUAGAAUGUUGUUCAUGGGUCAUUUGGAGUAAUACAGGUUUUUUUUUUAAAUACAGAAUAAAGGAUUCUCAGAAUGCUAAUAAAAUGAAAGGGUCCAAUCACCAGGAAAACAUUAAUCUAUAAAAUCAUGCAGGAUAUAGGGAAUAAAGGAAUAUGGAACACAGAUAUUUGAUAUAAAAGUAACUUUGUAUCAGAAAUUGACAAUUUUCAAGAAUUCGGAAAGUUAAAGGCUUAUCAAAGCUAUAAAGUCUAUAGCAGCCUUCAAAAGGAAGAUUUCAUGCUCUAUAAUUUACAGCCAGGCUGAUUGAUCUCUGACUGACUGGGGCUAGGAUUUUGAAUCUGAAUUUGUGUACAUGCUUAAUCAACAGUGUUUCAAAUUCCUACAAAUGAAGAGAGAAACAGAAUGAGAAAGUGAGCAAUCCAGUGAUACAGUCAGGUCAUUAGCCUCGCCACUUGAAGUGUGGAAGUACAUUGUGAACUGGGCAUCAGCACGGUGGAGUUGUCCCUGGAGGACAUUGAAACCAUCUCAGACACCCUCAUUUAUGAUGGGAAAGUGGAGAUAAUUCUCAUUGCUAUGAAGUAUGGCACUGUUGGCAGUGUGGAUGGACCUAUGAAACCGUACAGGACAGGUUUGGUCCAAGCACCCUGUGGACUCUUUCCAAUUUUGAUGUCUGCCAUGAAGGUAGUAAGCUUUCACCAUCUAAUUGUAUUUGCAUGACAUGGUGGCUUGAAUUUUAAUAAAGAGCUGAGAAUUUUACUUUUUAAAAAAUUUUUUUUGUCAAGUGGAAUUACUGAAGAGCAAAUUAUUAAUGAUGGAACAUCAAAUUUCUUUGAAAGCAUUCUUUACGCUGAUAGAUACUGACUUACUGCUGUGAAAAACAUUUAUUAAGACAACACAAAGCAAAUUAAGUUUAAUGGGAAAAUCAUUCUUUAGUAAGUAAAACAACUUGAAGCAGUAGAAGAGCACAACUUUCGAUAGCCCAGGGAAAAGAUGCCAGUAAAGCAUGCUGCCGUACUGACCUAUCCCAAUGCUGUUGUCCAGGAAAUAACUUCAGAGCAGGGGAUUCAAUCCCAAGGGGCUCCUAAUUGGUCUCUCACUAUUAAAGCUGUAAGUUUUACUUCUGGCUUAAUUGUAUUAUUACUUGCCAGAUUUUUUCCCCCAGAUUCUUAUUCUGUUUCUACUGUGUGAUCCUCCCAACUACCAGCACCAAAUUCUAAUGUUGUAAUCGAAUUCCUAUGUGGAAUGUGAUAAGUAGGACCUUUGCUGGCAGAUGAGGUGACAGAAUGUACAUGAGGAGUCUUCAUGAGUAGAAUUAGGGCCUGAAAAGAAGAGACCCAAAGUGCUGUGUUGCCUCUCUGUCAUGUAAGAACACAGGGAAAAGUAGAGGGAAGUGGGCCCUCAUCAGAUAGUGAUCUACCAGCUUCUAGAAACUUGAUAAAUUAUUUUCUUGAUAAACCAUCACUCUGCAGUGUUCUAUUAAAGCAGGUAGAAGGACUUGACAGUAUCUAAUCUUUUAACUAAAGGUAAAACAAGAUGGGCAUGGUGGUGCACUCCUUUAAUGCCUACACUUGGGAGGCAGAGGUGGGCAGAUUUCAGUCACUUCAAGGCUAGCCUAAUCUCCAUAGUUAGUACCAGGACAGCUGUCUUAAAAAAUAAAAAUAGAUCAAUAGAUUGCCUUUCAUUCACUCUCUGAGGUGUGGGAAAUAGGUGUUUCUUACCCUGUUUUAUAGUGGUCUCCUUAUUUUUUUAAUCCUUUUUCUAAAAUCAUGGUGUGCCUGUCUAUGUAGAGAGCCAUCACUGUGCAGUUUGCCAGUCUCAGGUGCCGGGCAUUGAAAACUAAGUUUGCAUGUUGUUGUACAGAAGAUAGCCAUAUCUCUUUUAAGGAUCUCAGCAAUUGGGUUUUUAGCUUUUGAUUUUGUUUUAAGACAGGGAUUCUCUUUUUUGCUCUGUCUGUUGUCAUGGAACUCACCCUAUAGACCAUGCUGCCUUUGAACUCAGAGAUCCACCUCUCUGGUGUUGGGAUUAAAAACCUUCUCCACUAUGCCCAGCUCACUUUGUGUCUUAAGCUUCUUUAUGUCAACAAUGACCAGUUGAAAGGAUUCUCACUGCACUCCUCCUUGGGGCUGAGCCCUAUCAUUUUUCAGUGCUCUAAGUGAACACCAUUGGAAGUGUUACCUUGAGAUAAAUGGGACCAAUAAAAUUAAACUUGCUAGCUCAUUUUUAUUGCAUGAAUUUUGAGCUAUAGAAUUAGCAUUUAAUGGCCUAGUUAUUUUUAAGUGUUAGAUUAUAUGUAAGAUACAGAAGGUUCUAGAAGACAGAUACUGCAGGUUUCUUAUUGUUGUAGUAAGGGCUAGUAUGGAGAACAAGUUUCAGUUUUCCUAGGUCUAUCAAAUAAACAUUAGUCUUAUUUUAAGUGGAAACUAAAUAAAGGAGAAUUACAAAAGAGAAAAAUAUUAUUUUAUAAAUAUAUUCUGUAUUAUGUCUUUCUUUUGUUGUAAUAAAAGUCACUAUAGCCCUGAAAUUUACUUUAUGGCCUAGAAUAGCCUUGAACUUCUACUUUAGCCUCUCAGAUGCUGUGAUUACAGGUUAAACUGCCAUUGCUGGAUUUAUAUUAUGUCUUGGUAAUUAGAUACUGAAUCUUUAAAUUUGCAACUAGUGGCUAGAAGUGUCCCUUGCCUCAGCAGAAUAAAGAGAUAUUUAAUUUUUUUCCUUAUAGCAUAUUUUCUUACUCUGAGUAUUAAGUGGAAAGCAUAGAUAAAUUUAAAAAUAUAGCAACUGUUCUGUAUAGUAAAAUGAAUUCUACAGAGAUAAGCUAUGAUCCAAAGAAAUUAUCAGCCAUCGAAAUCAUGACACCACAAAAUCAAAUUGAAGAUCUUUUCCACUUAGCGAUAGGUAUUUUGCUGAGAAUACACACUCCAGUUUGUUGUGGACCUUGUUAAAAAAAUGUUCUAUACAGCCAGUCAUGGUGGAGUACGACUUUUAAUCCCAGCCCUCAGGAAGCGGAGGCAGGCAGAUCUCUUAAGUUCAAGGGCAGCCUGGUCUAAAUGAGUCCAGGACAGCUGGGGGAUGGGGAUGGAAGGGGUCAAAAGAAAACGAAAAAGUGAUCCAUACAAAAACAGAUGUCAUGAGUCUGUGAUUCUAUGAUUUUUUUUUUUUUUUAAUGAACAGUAGUGUGGAUUUUCACAUGAAACUUCUAAUCUGGUCUGGCAAUAAAUACAAGGGGUUUGAUGGUGAUCAAUUGAAUUCUGUGAUGGGGCACAAUGGUAGAAAACUCCUGGCAUGAGGAGGGUCCUGGCUCAGCUGUUAGCCUAGCAAUAAAGGAGUAGGUCAGGGACAGCUACAGAAUAUAUGCCUUACAGUAGUGUGAUCCAGUAAGACAGGUUGAGCUCAAUCUGUCUCCAACUCCAGUUGGAUCUAUAGGUAUGCACCAUAACAUCUGACCAGCUAGCAUUUUUCUAUCAUGAUUGAAAUAAUCUAUAUUGUACAGUAACCUGAAGCCAGCUUUCUGGUCAGCACUUAAAACAGUAAAAGUUAAAGCAUUUUUUUAUUCAGUUGCCUAUGGAUACCGCUCAUAUUAGGCAGCACAGCUCAACAAUCAGAAAGCUCUGCCGAAUACUCUCCCUGGGGAUUAUUAAACCUCACACUGAAAUAUAUUAGUUUGUAAUUAAAAUACAUUUUUAAAUAAUUCAUUUUAAAGGUUGAAAAACAAAUUAAUUUAAAAACAUUAAUUAUAUAUCUAAUAUAAACAGACAAAACCAAAAAAAUCUAAGUUUGAGUCUACAUGAGUUAUUUGAGAUUGAUAAUUAUGUACUUUGCACUUUUGAAUUCUUAAAAAUUAUUAACUUACAUAAAUAACAUUAGUUUAUAAUUUGUUUUAUACCCAGGAUAAAAAUAAAUGAUUAUUUCUGCUCUUCAUUUCCACAUGAACAAUUACAGUAGACCUAUAUGAUUGUGUUCCUGCCUUUUAAAAAUACCUGUUGUUAAAAGUUGAGUAUUUCAUGGCUUCUUGUAUUUAGAAACCCCCAAAUCAUUUCGGGGUAAAACAAUAGUUUCAUAUUGACUCUGGGUUUGAUAAAACUGUGGAAAAUCACACUCCUGUAUCCAUUCCAAGCUCUGCACCACCAAGUACAAGUGUGCUGGAAAUCCUCAGCAUCACAAUAGUCACAAGAUACAGAGAAGUGUGUGUAUGUGUGUGUCUGUGUCUGUGUGUGUGCAUGCGUGCGUGUGUGCAUGCACAUGCAUCCUAUGACCCUUAGUGGAAACGUUAAACAUGAAAAGAAAAACUCUUUCCGAUGUUUCAGGCCCCAGAGCUAUUGGGUGGGGUAAUAGAGUUGUCAUAACUAGAGCUGAGCACCUCAGAGCCUUCGUCCCUGCACACUGAUGAGACUGUGCCACUCUCCCAUCCCUCAUCAGAGAAGCCUCACACAGAGCCACAGCUUCCAGCUGCACCUUUACAUGAAGAUUCUGUCAGUGCAAUUUCAUAGAAGUAGUGCUUUGUUACAAAGAAAAUAUCACAUCUUAUUUAGCAGUGUGAUACAGCUUAUGCUCCAUUUUAAAGGACUUAUCUAUAUUAGAUUUGGAGUCUAAGAGAAUGAUUAGGUUUUGACUUUCUCUUAUUUAGCUAAAUUAUGGAAGAAACUCAAAAUUUUUAUGAUUUGGUUAAUUCUUACCUUUUUUAAUGUGACCAACAAGAGAAAAUUACUAUCUCACCAUUUUUAAGUUUUUGUGUAACUAUGGGCUAUUUGGUUUAGUUUAAUAUUUUCUGUUGGCUGGUUAUAUAUUGUAACUAUAACCCACUCACACUGUCUUGUAGUUUAUUGACUUCUCAACCCCAAACUUGAAACAAGUUAUCCAUGCUUAUAACUGCAGCCAAUAUGUCCAUAGCACAUGCUUCCUACAACUGUGUAUGUGGAUUCAGGUGUUCAGAUAUUCGCUGAAGUACAGACCUUCUAUUUACAUGGAAAUACAUCAACAGUUCUUCUGAAUCAAAGCCACCUAGAGAAGUGCUUGUUUUCAUUGCUUCAGAUGGGAAAACACAAUAUAAACUAGCUUUUGGAGCUUGUUUUUUGUUUCUAAUAAAGUGCUCAGUAAAAGAAUUAAAAUAAGUGGGACUGGCAGGAGAGAAGGGACAGGGGGAAGUGUAAAGUGAAUAAUGAAAAAAAGAAUUAAAUAGAAAGGACUAUUGAUGGCAGAGUUGAAAUAAUUUUAAAAUUAAAAUAAUAACUUGAAUUUUUAUCUCAUGGCCUGCUUGGUAAAAUGAGGAUGCAUGUUGUAUGCGAUAGCAUGUAAAUGAAUAAAUGAGGAAGAAAGGAUAGUUCUUCGCAGAAAAACUCCAAUUUUAAGAACACAUAGAAUAAUGAACGAAAUAAAAAUGCUUCCCAUACAAAGCACAGCAAUAAGUGUUGGACUCAAUGAGUAAGUACUGAAACCAAUGGAAAAGGCGUGUGCUGUGCAGUGAGAUUUUUGGCUGCUUAUUUUAUGCCUUAUAUAUUCAGAACCACCAAGCUGUAAACCAUUUGUUGCAGUAAAUCUCCAACCUGAAUAAGCUGGUGCAAAGAACACACAACUCAGGUAUAUUCAUAAUACUUAAAAGCCGUACGCUUAGAUUGGGCAUAUAAACCACUACACUGCUCUCUAUCCCCAGCUAUGAGAACCCUUGCUUCUUAUGGCUUCUCCAGGUUACAUGGUUUUGGUCCAUCUUCCUCUAUCUCCACAUCUGUCUCCUCCUCCUUCCUCUCUCCCCUCCUUAAAACCUCCAGCCCACUCCCUUCCACUGCCCAAUCACAGCCGUAGCCUGUAUUUGACCAGUUAAAAUGGGAAGAAGGUUCACUUGAAAUCACCUGAGUACUUGAUCCACUCCUCCUCUGGCAGCCCCUCUUGAGGAAACAGAAUUAGCAUCAAAAUACAAACAGUACAGAGGUAAUCUACAACAAUCCUCCAUUAAGUACUUUUAAAAUACUUCUCUUCAGUGACUUUACUGUUCAAUAACCCUUUGUUACUGUGGAAGUGAGGAAUAUUUGGUCAUUAUUUUUCUGUGGACUGUGGGGUUUUUAAUUUUUUUUUAAUUCUUUGUUUUUGGAAUUAAAAUAUAAUUACAUCAAUGCCCCCCACCUUCUCAGAUAUGUAGCCUCCUUUUCUUUUAAUAUUGGGGUGUGUGUGUGUGUGUGUGUGUGUGUGUGUGUGUGUGUGUGUGUUCUGUUUUCCUUACUUUUUUUUUCUUUUCUCUCACCUCCUUCCAUCCCUCCAGUCCACCUGCCCUCACCUCUGAAGUUAAGAGAAGGAUCUUUGAUGUUUGCCACACUGGAGUGCUUAGGCUCCUACUUUAGCCUCUAAGUAGCUAGGACUAAAAAGUAACAGAUCAUGAUCAUAAAGAGCCUUGAUACUUGAUUUUUAGUAAUUAUAUUCAUAACAGCAAAAGGCAGCUUUAGUUAGAUAUAGCUUAGUUUCCUUGCAGCUCUUUUUAAAAAUACUUGUCAGUAAUUGUUUGCCUUUAUCUGGGGUCUUAGCCCAUUCAGAAUAGAAGCUGAUGGGUUCAGAAAGCAGUGUUUAGAAGGGUGUUAUUGGCAGAUACUCUGUAGACAAGAGCAAGCACAGAAAUAGUUGAGUACUAAGACUCUGUAUUCUUUCUGCUGCUGCAGCAUUUGAGCAGUGCACAUGGGUUUGUUUGCUUUUUUUGUCUGUUGUGAGCAGUAUGUGAACAGUAUUUUAAUUUCUGUAGUAGUCAUUAAACUUGUUUAGAAUACAUGUUUUUAAACCCCUGUUUAAAACACAACAGUGUGCUUGGUUUUAUGUCUUUCCUCCAAGUAGCCCAGCCAUAGCACAGCUCAUGCACUAGGAGUGCUGUUAUUUGUUAAAGUAGGUAAGUUUGCCAGUUACUGACCCUGCCAUUUGUGGCACUUCUAGCAGUAAUCUUAGACUUCAACUUUGCUAAAGAUGGCUGUGGUGGGAAAGGAAAAGGGCUUAUCCAAACAACUAAUUUGUGGGUCAGAGAUUGGGACAGAAAACAUAUAACCUAUCACUAGAAGUGAUCCUCCAGCAUUUUGAAUACUUUCUAGUCACAUUUUCUCUACAUGCUGUGUGUAGACAUAAUGAGUAUUGAGCUAAUGCAGUUUUGAGCGGCUUACUAAGCUCUUCUUCAGUAUGAAGAGAAUAGUUCACACUUUCUGCCCUGUGUCACUAUAAGUUACUUUGUUUACCAUAGCAGUUAGGCUAGCUAAAGAGACCUAGGCUGCUAUGUAUUGUCUCCUCUGAACUUGUCCUGGAUAAUAGAAUACAGUAGUUUGUUGUGUAGCAAGUGCACACUGGAUGAAGCAGAAAGGGAGUGGAAUGUGUGGGUCUGAGGAUAUAGAAAAAGAUUACUGGUUUGAAUAGAUUUUUAAAGAUUUGUUUUCUUUUUUGAAAAUAUUUAGAAAUUUCUGAGUCUUUUCUAACUUUCUUCCUUUCACAAACUGUUCUUUGACCUUUUUGUAAGAUAUGAGGAAAUGAAUAUACUCGUUUACGUUUCCAGUGUGAGAUGACUCUUACUCAUUUGUUGUUAUGACUUCUGUUGUUCUCUAUCAAGUUUUAUGUCCUUUUAAUUUUUCUUCUUAGCUCCAAGCUUCAUAGCCUGGAGAUCUACAUAUUCCCCCAAAAUUCAUAGGCAGAAUUUAAUUGGCUCAUGAAUUUGAAUGGGAGAAAAAUAAUUCCAGUUUAUUUUCAACUAGCCCAAUUGAAUAUUAACAUCUUUACAUUUAAAUAUAGACAGCUAUCAACUGUGAUUUUUAAUAUCUAUUCUAGUAUUAUUAUCUAGUAUUUAGUAUCUUUUCUAGUAUCAUAGAUACUUUUAUGAUACAAUGUCUUUUAAAUUACAUUAUCAUUGCUUUGAACUUGUAGAUACUAGAUUAUUAUUAGAUCUUAGAUUGUAAUAUAUUGUGGAAGAAUGCUGUGUAAUUACCUCAAUUGUUUUUCAGCUGUACUGAUAUAUAUAUAUAUAUAUAUAUAUAUAUAUAUAUAUAUAUAUAUCCAUCCAUCCAUCCAUCCAUCCAUCCAUCCAUCCAUCCAUCCAUCCAUCCAUGGGUUUUAAAACGUGAUUCUGAGAAAGAACACUUCAACACAUAGCCAAAGGAGUGCCUGCAUGACAAUGUUUAUGAGUCUCAUUUGUUCCUUUACUGUUUGAUCUUUCUACUUCGUCUGUUCCUUACUAUGCCUGUUCUAGCCUUCAGAUUUUUUUCUGCCUUUAGUGGCUACACCACUUAACCUGUGCUUAAAUGCUACCAGCCUCUUAUCCAAAGUCUAUGUUAGUGACUAGAUAUACAUAUACUGCAGGAAGAAUUUUAGAGCAUUAAAUUUAAAGUAAACUUGUUAUUGUUGUAAAUCCGUUACUUUUCUUUUUAAGUCCCCACUAAACUGGGCUACUGAGAUCUUCUGACCCAAAAUUAAAAUAAAAGCUGUUUUUGUUUUUUGAUACAUCCUCAGUAAAGAGUAAUUGAGACAUAUCAAAAUUGUGUUGUGUUCAUUACAAUGAUCAUUAUAAUGAUACAAGAUCAAUACUUAUCACUAAUAAGGCCACUGUGAUUAUUCUUAGACAAGUUUCUUGACACUGUUACUCCUCUAGGGAAAAUUCAUGAAUAUUGUCUUGUGAGGUCACAGGGUUAUUGCAUACCUAGAAUGCAUUGAUGACUGCCAGACCAUUCUCUCGAAUGUGAUGUUUGGUUUCCUUAGCAGAUCAUGAGGGUUUCAUUGCUGCUGUUCUAAUGGGUGUGGAUUGAUGCUCUGAGCAAACAUGUACACUUCUCUUUUUAAAGUGUCUGCUUGAGUUACUGCGCCAUAUUUAACUGAGUUGCCUACUAUCAUUGGUGAUUUGUAGAUAUUCUUUAUAUAUUCUCAACAGAAAUUCUUUGUCAAAUUAUCAAUGUUCUGUAUUUACCGAAUAUUCUUUUUCUGAAGCAAUUUUAUGUCUUGUAUUUGAGUUGUUGGACCAAUUAACAUUAUAAUGCUUACUACAUACUAGUUUAUGUCCUUCAUUUAUUAGUAGGGAAAUUAGAUACUUAGAACCACAGGAAAUGAACAAGACCUAGCUCUGAAGCCCUAGGAGAGGCGUGGCAAAUUUACCUAUAGAGUAAAAAAAUACAAAUUGUAUAUUGUAAAUGUUUUUUUUAUAACAUAUUAAGUUUUUGGCACAUACAUAAAAUAAAAUUGUAGUUGCAAGAUGAUUAUAGGAUUUAUAAGAUCAACAUGGUCUAGAUAGGGAUAAUCCUUCCAUAUAGAAAUAUAUUUGAAGAGGAUAUUAUUUGUGUAUGUAUGUAUAUCUGUGUGAGAGAGUAUGUAUAAAAUUUAUGAACAUGAGACUCAAGUCAAAUGACUUUUCUGUUUGCUCUUAUGACAGCUACAGAACUAGGCCAUAGUUUGUUCUGCUAUAUCACCCUUUAGUGAAAAUACAUACCUAGGUUUACCAGUAGUUGAUAAUUGAUAGAUAAUAUACAUAUCCUUUCUAUUUGUGUUAGCUGUAUUUCUUAAUUGUGAAGACAAGCUUGUGUACUUCCUUUGUCUUUUAGUAUUCUAUGUAUCAUACUUCUUACGAUAGUUCCGUGGGGAAUGUUCUAUAUUUUUCAUUUAUCCCUUUAUCGCAUGAGAUUUUCAGCAAAGGAAAGGGGUAAAUUAAACGGUUUAUUUUUCCUUUGUUAAUAUGAAUGAUGUGAGUAACCAUCCUAAUUUUUUACAUUCUUCUGUGAAAAAUACUUUAAAGGGUUAAAUUAAUACUACCAUUCACCAUGCAGUAUUACCACAAUCUGAUGAUGUAAACCAUGACUGUAGGAAAGGACCCAUUGUUUUUAGAGUUCUUUUCCAUUCAUGUAGUGUAGUAGGAACGUUAAUGCUUCUUGUGUGAAGUGUACCAACAUAAGUGUGCCACACAUACUACUGGAAAUGCAUUUGCAAUAGUCAUCAACACUUGGGAACCCUCUGGCGAUCUCAGGUCAUGGUUAUGUUGACAUUAACAUACAAGAUAGAUAAAACCAGCCUAAUGUAUAUCUCUGGAUUGUUUGGGAGAAUUUAAAGUUUAAUAAUUUUUUCCUUCUUAAAAAUUAUUUUAUAUUCUAUCAAGGUCAGAAGAUAACUUGAAAAGCAAGUUUUCUUCUUCCUCCUUCUGGAUCCUGGGGAUCAAACUCUUGGUGUCAGGUGCUUCUUACCUGCUGAACCCUCCCACAUAGGGUUCAUGCACAUAUAUCUAUCUACACACUGGCCCUCAUGCAGUACAACUGUUAGCCCUGUAUAUAAAUUAUACAAGAUAAAACAUACAGCAUUUGUGAAAUUAAAGUAAAUUAGUCCAUACCUAGUAAGCAUAUUGAUACAUAAAAUGUAUUUGCUUGACAUAAUGUGUACUGUAAGUUGUUCCCUGAAUUCAUGGUUUCACUUUCUGUGGUUCAGUUGCACAUGGUCAAGCAUGAUCUAAGACUAGUAAGUAGAAAAUUAUAGAAAUAAUACACUAAGGUUUAAGUAACCUUACUGUAGUAUGUUAUUUCUACAGAAGAGUAUUUGGCAUUAAGAGGUCUAUGAGUAGUAGAAACAAGCCUUAAGUGAAAGUGAGUGAAUUGUUCAGAGGGAUUAUAAAUAUGUUUAACAUAUACCAUUUUAUAUUCUAAUUUUUAUAUUAAUUGUUGUUUCUUUUUACUUAUUUUUUAGUCUACUACAUCACAUUGAUAAACUUUUUAUCAUAAACAUGUAUGUACAAGCAAAAAUACAGUUUCCAGGGUUUUAUAACUUUAGAUAUCUAAAAGCAACUUGGAAUAUAUCAUUUGUGGAUAAAGGAAAACAUUCCAUAGAUUUUUGCUUGUACUAAUCUGGAGCCUUCCAUAGAAUUUUAAGUUAAUUAUUCCAGCUGAGAAAAAUUAAUAGAAACAUUGUUAUAAUUUGACCUUCAAAUCAACACAGGUAACAUUAGAAACAUGCACAAAAUGGAAAUGAUGAGUCAAGGUAAUCCAUCAUGUUCUGUUUUACAAUGCAGUAUCCUUUGAACACUUACUCUCUGAACCCAGGAAAUAAAUUUAUAUUAGGGCAUAUGUUUAUUGCCUUUGAACCAAAUAAGUUCAGAUUAUAUAGUUUCUUUUGCAUUUUCUACCUGCCUUUCAAACUGUGUGAACCCAAGAACCAAACUGAUUUGAGUUUGAAAAAUGAUCGUGAUGCACUAGGAUUUAUAUUAUGGAUACCACGUGGUCUUGCCUUAGAGAUAAGCUGGUUUUGGAAGCUCUGUCACUAUCCAUGCCUUGCUCUUUCUUUCUCUGUUUUUCAUUCUCUGUAGAAAUACACGUAGGUUAAGUCCUGAGUAGAUGUGGUAGAUCCGAAAGUCUUUCCCUGUAAAGUCAGCAUAAUGAUGUAUGCCUGUAACCUUAGCACUUCUGAGGUGAAGUAAGAAGGAUCAGGAGUUCAAGGUCACCCUUGGCUGCACAAGGGUGUCUGUCUCUCUCUCUGUAUAAAUAUACACACAAACAUAUAUCUACACACACACACACACACACACACACACACACACACACACACACAAUCGCUCAGUCAGAAGUCAUGAAUGACCAUGCUUCUCAGCUCUUACUGUCAUGUCUUUAUUUUAAAAUAUAGAGUUAGGGAGAUGGCUUAAUCAGUGCCUACAAUGUAAGCUUUAGUACCUGAUUUUAGAUCCUUAGUAUGCAUAGGAAAGCUGGGUGUGGUAGCCAUGGAGAUAUUCAGACAGGAAGAUCCCUGGAGCUCAGUGGUCAGUAAGCCUGGUCCAAUGGAUGAGCUCCAGGUUCAGUAAAAAACUGCCUUUAAAAAAUGAUAUGAGGGGCUGGGGAUUUAGCUCAGUGGUAGAGCGCUUGCCUAGCGAGCGCAAGGCCCUGGGUUCAGUCCCCAGCUCCGAAAAGAAAAAAAAGAAAAAAAAUGAUAUGGAAGGUGAUCACAUGUGAUACCCAGUGUCCACCUCUGGCCUCCACACAUGUGCGUACACAAACAAAUACAUGCACCAGAGAUACCCACAAAAAAUGAAAUUUUAAUGUCAAGGUGUAUGUGAAUACUUGUGUUUGUAAAUCAAAAUUAAUACAUCGUUUUGUGCAGUCAAAUAUUAUAUGAACACAUAAUAUUUGUACACAAAUUUUGUGUAACUGACGUAUACUAGGGACUCACUUCCCAAAAUGGAUCAUUUCUACUAUUAUUGCAUAUUAGGCCUCAUUUGAUUCUAGGUUUUUCAGCUUACAGUUAAAUUAUGUUCUAAAAGUUUAUUGGAACUCUUGAGUAGUAGUUGUCCAUGAAAAUAGGUGCCAACAUGAAGUCUACCGCAGCAGAAGUCUAUAGUGCUCAUUAAUGGUGAGUUUUUAUUCACUGUCAUUAUAAUUUGUCUAUUGAGAAUUUGAGUUUCUUAUCUAAAAGAAUGAGAAUUUACUUUCUAUUCUCUCUUUAGAUAAUACUUUGAUUCCUUCCUAUCUUUUCCUAGCCUCACCAAAGUGGCUUACUUAGUAUACUUUACUCCUUCAUCAGGGAGUAUACUGCAAAAUAACCAGACACCUGUAUGAAACCAUUUGUCAGUUAGCCAAAAUAAAAAGAUGGGGAUUGAGUUCUUAUACCUUAGAGCUACUUCAUUUGUUGUCCAUAGAAGUACAUAGCAUGCUUUUCCAGUGAACUCCUGUGGCCGAGUGACUAGUUGCUUGGAAAAUUAUUUAAGGUGCUUACACUCUGUUUUUUUAUUUUAUUUAUUUUUAAAUUUCAUAUAUGUAUACUAUAUUUGCAUCAUUUCUCCCCCCAAGAAACAUUGCUUUAGUGCUUUAUUAUGUCUUAGCCUGAAGAGAAUAGAAACCUUAAACUGUUCAUGCCAUGUUUAGUGAAUGCUUUUCAGUAUGGAGAAAACAAGUUUGCUGGGAUUCUUGCCUGCUAGUAGCUGGAAAGUGUCAGGUGGACCUGCCCUGCGCAUGCCACAGUGUGAGUUAGAACUUGGCUUGCACAUAGCAUCAUAUAGUGCCAUCUUGAUUUGCCUGUAGUGUUUAGGCACUGUCUAGUAGUUCUCCAAAGUAUAAUUCCUGUAUUUUUCAAGAUUAGGUACCUAACUAUGGGAUGAAAUAACUUGCACUUAAAAGAAGAAAUAUUGAUUAACUCUUUCUUAGAGCUUUAAUCAUAUCACUUAUUGGUAAAGAGAAUUUCAAAAGCAUGUUUCAAACCAAAUAUUAUGAGGAGCAUUGUGUAUCUUGUUAUUCUUUAUUCUAAAGUAAUGUUUCUCAACCUGUGGGUCACAACCUCUUUGGAAGUCUAAUGACUUUCACAAGGGUUGGGUCACCUAAGAUAAUCAGAAAACAACGUGUAUUUCCGAUGGUCUUAGGAACUGAGACACCACUCCUCUGUCUUUAGACAGAUCCACAUGUAGAUAAGCCAACAUACCUGGACACAGACACCCGAACAAAUGCAAGGGUGUGUGAUAGGGUUGACACCAUAAGGCACUUUGGCAGACCAGUCAGUCACACAUGUGUAGAGAAGACUAAUGUGUUGAAAGCAGCAAUAUUGGAGGUAAAACAACACUUCAUGAAUUACUAUUGCUGGGUAAAUAUAAAAUCAUUAACUACUGCAAAAAAAUAGUAUCUGUACCAUGGGAACUUAAUUUUUUUAUAUUCCUAUUGAAUACUGCCCCCUUGUGAUAGUUAAAGGAAUAUAAAGGAAAAGAAAAAAAGUAAAUCAUAGGAAACAUUAAUGAACUAUAUUAAAUGAACUGUGCCAUGUAUGAUCUUUUGUAUUAAAGCUAUUGUUAUUCUCAUUAGAAAACCAUACCAUGACAGUGGUUCGUGUAGAGGAGAAGACUAAGGAAAGAAAAUAUAGUAAGAGUUUUUGUACAGUGUGGUUCGACCUCAACAAUUGCAGCAGGAGUUGAGAAACCAUAAUGUGGUAUUUGUUGUGAAGUUGAACAAACUAAAAAGCCAUUUUGAUAGCAAGCAUCUGAGCUUUGCUGGCAAAGACACCAACUACUUUAGAAGCAAAGAGGAUGGACUCAAGAAAGGCAGACUUGACACUAGUGGUAGGUACCAUACACACAGUGUAGCAGCCGAGGAAGCUUCCUGUUGGUGGCACAGUCAGACUGGUGGUGAAGGGUUUUUGCCAGCAGCCAGAGACAUUGUUCAAGUUCUUAUUGAAGGUGAGUUUGUUAUGCAGUUGAGUGCAAUUUCCUUAUUUAAGGACACUGUCUAUUGAAGAAAAGAUGGCAUAUCUGCUGAUAUUCUUGGUCAGGUAGUCCAGGAAAUUAAAUAUGUUCCACUUCCAAUAUUCAGUAUCCAGCUUGAUCAAUCUACAGACAUUGCAGAUUGUUCACAGUGACUGAUUUAUGCAAGGUGUAUUAAUGAUAGUGACUCUAAAUAUGAUUCCUUUUUUGCAACCAUCCUGAAACAACAAUUCUGCAUGUGAAGUAUUUGACAUAGUUAGUUCAUCUUUGAAAGAGCACAAGGUCUCUUGGGGACAGGUUUCUGCCUUAGCUGUGCUAGGAUGGUGAUCAGGAUUUCAAUGUUUGGUACUGAAUGAGUCACCAGAAGUCAUCGGAACUCUACUUUAUUGGCAAAUAUUACCAAUGAAGACACUGCCACAAGAGUUACAAGAAGUAAUGAAAAGGACCAUAAGUUCUGUCAGUUUUGUCAAAGUGAGUACUUUAUAAACAGUCUGCUGUUUUCAAAACCGUGUGUGAGUUAGAUGCACCAGAGCUCUGCUGUUUCACACUGAAGUGAGGUGGUUCAAGAGGAAAAGUGGUAAAACAUGUUUUCGAGCUUUGUGAUGAACUCAAAAUGUUUUUUAAUGAGAAAGCAAGACCGUAGUUUGAAGCACUUUUCAACAAUAAAAUGGAAUCACAGAAGAUAGCUUACUUUGUUGACAUCUUUACCAUCUUGAAUAACUUAAAUUUAUCACAAAAUGCAACAUGCCUCGAUUUGUCUGAAAAGGUCUGAAAACUUUUAACCUACUUUAUCUGCUUUCUAUGAGGCACAUGACAUUGAAACAGACAAAAAGAUUACUAUGAUAAUUUCUAUGAAAAAGCACUUGCUUGCAGACGAAAUUUUAUUGUAUUUUCCAAAUCUACAUGGCACUUGCAGGAAGCCCUUUCACAGUCAAAGUUGAAGGUGUUCCUGAGACAGUACAAAAAGAGUUCAUUGAGCUUAAUAACAGCAGUGUAGCAAGAGUUGCUUUGAUCCACAGUGCUAGUGACAAACUUCUGGAGCAAAUAUUUCCAGUCAUGACCUGUUCUCUCUGAGACUGUGUUGUAACUCCUUCCAUUCCAACACCGCAUCUUUGUGAAACAGGGUUCUCCAGCUUGUUGGUUAUCAAGGCUAAAUAUAUAAGUAGACUCAUGGAAAUUAAUCUUCACUGUCCUCUUGUAAAGAUUACCAUGAGAAUUUCUGAUCUGGUUAGAAAGAAGCCUUCUCAACCUUUGCACACUGACACUGGCUUUUUACAUAUACUGUCACAAAAUGAAGCAAUGUAGCUUACUGUUGCUAUUAAGACUGUUAGUCGUCCUAUACCAUGCUUCAAAACGAAUUUUUGUUUAUUUGUAGUUAGAAAUAAAUAUUUCACAAUAUAUAAUUACAUAUUGUUUUGUGAUUAAUCACUAUGCUUUACUUAUGUUCAAUUUGUAAUAAUGAACAUAUAUCCUGCAUACCAGGUAUUUACAUAAUAAUUCAUAACAGUAACAAGAUUAUAGUUAUAAACUAUAAACUAUAUAUUUGGGGUGUCACCACAACAUCAGGAGCUCCUAAGGAUUUCAGCGUUAGGAAGGUUGAGAACCACUAUUCUAAAGGUUCUCUGGUGCCAUCUACUGAAUGUCUUUCUAAGGAAGAUCAUGGGGAAAAAAGUAUAAAAUUUUCAUUUAAUCUUUUUUAAAUUAAUUUUUCAUUAAUACACCUUAUUUUUUAUUUGUAGAUGGGGUCUCACUAUUUUAUUCAUGCUGGCCAUCAACUUGAAAUUGUCUUACCUCGGCCUCCUGAGUAUUAGUAUUUAUUAUAGACAUAUACCACCAUACCUAGUAUAAUCUGUUUUUUUAAAGAAUGAAUUUAAGUUUGUAGAUGGAGCAGAAAGUUCAGUGUUCUCAUAUAUUUUCCCCACAUUCUUUAAAUUUUCAGUAUAAACAUACUAUAUUUUGUGUAAUUGAUAAAUCAAUAAUUGGUGAACGUUAUAACCAAAAGUAACAUGGCGAUGAAAGAGUUUAUUUCAUUUUAGAUUUCCAAGUGGCCGUCCAACACAGAGAAAGUUCAGAGCAGGAACUCAAGCAGGGUAGAAACCUGAAGGCAGGAACUGAAGUAGAAGCCACAGAAGACUAUGUAGCCUUGGCUGUCCUGAGACUCACUCUGUAGACCAGGAUGGACUUGAAAUCAGAGAUCUGCCUGCAUCUGCCUCCUAGUGGGCUUUCCAAGAAAUCAACCUAGUCCCAACUAUUAGUAAAUUUUGAGCAUAAACUUACUCAUAAUUUUUAUUUCUCUUUUAAUUAAUUGGCAUCCACAGUAAUGACUCAUUUUUUUGAUUCUAGUAAACUUGUAUAUGUUUUCUUAUUCUUGAUAUCAUAAGGGCUAUCAAACUGAUUAUUUUUCAAAGAACCAAAUGAACUUUUUUAACUUUAAAUUUUUUACUUAUUUACUUCACUUCUAUGUAUAUAAGUAUACCAUCACUCUCCUCAGACACAUCAGAAGAGAGCAUCAGAUCCCAUUACAGAUGGUUGUGAGCCACCAUGUGGGAUUUGAACUCAGGACCUCUGGAAGUACAGUCAGUGCUCUUAACUGCUGAGCCAUCUCUCUAGCCCUGAACUUGUUGGGUUUUUUUCAUUUAUUUAUUUAUUCACUUUACAUUGUGAUCACAGCCCCCUCCCCUCCUGGUCCCCCUUCACACAGCUCCUCUUCCAUCCCUCCGUUUUCUCCUCUGAAGGGGAAGGUACCCCCGUGUCAAAGCACCCUGGCACAUCAAGUCACGCAGCACUAGGCAAACCCUCUCCCCCUGAGGCCAGACAAGGCAGACCAGUUAGGGGAACAGAGACAAAGAUACAGAGUCAGGGAUAGCCCAUGCUCCGGGUGUAGAAGUCCCACGUGGAGAGGAAGCUGUACAUGUACGUAAUUUGCAGGAGGUUGAUCUAGCCCAUGGAAGCUCUUUGAUAGUUCAGCCCUUGGUGCUUCCAAGGGUCCAGGUUAGUUGAUUCUGUUGAUCUUCCUGUGGAGUUCCUAUCCUCUCUGGGCCCCCUCAGUUCUUCUCCCAACUCUUUAACAGAACUCCUCAAGCUCCAUCUAAUGUGAAACUAUAUUCUUUAUUCUAGUCUUAAGCAAUAUAAACUCUUGAUGACUUUAAAGCAAGAAAAGUUCUAAAAUCAUGAGUUUUCCCCCUUAAUCCAGUUUUUGCUUUCAUUGUUUGCACGUGCUCUCUAGACCUUAUAUGACACUAGAGCGUAGAGGCAUUAAAAAAAAGGGGACCACAAAGAUGCUUCUUUCAGGGUAAAUGAAUGGCCUAAGAGUUUUUACUCUAGGAUUUAUCGCAUCUGAAUGAAUUGUGUAUUUACAAUAUAGUGGAUAUGGGAAAUUUGAUUUUAAAUGAAUCAUCAGUUUGAAAAAUGCUUAAGAAUUUUGAAUGAUGAAUUUAAAACAUUUUUUUUUUUGGUUUUUGGUUUUUAAAGAAUUUAGUUAAUUCAAUUCAGUGAACCAAAAAUACUCACAGUAAAAAUCAUCAACAUUUAUAUGUAAAACAAAAUCUAUUUUUUUUUCUUUUUUUUUUUUUGGUCUGGUUUGGAGGGCAAUUAAAGUUAAAAUAUUCUUUAAUGGGAGUUUAUUAUCAACGAAGUCUUUUGUUCUAGAAAUAAAGAAAAUUAGUACUGUAAAAGUCUCGCUAAAACAAAACACUGGGGCAAAAGCAAAAUAAAACUGCAUAUUAGACAAGAAAGAAAUCUGUAUCCUGAGCAGGAAAUUUUCCCUGGGAAUUUAUCAGGAAGGACACAUGAGCUUUCUGGGUAUCCUUAUCUUUUCAUCAUUUUGGAUCAGGAUUUCUCCGAUACUGCAAAACCAGGUUAGCUUGCCCACAAGCUUUUGGGGAUUCUCUCAUUUCUGUGUCCCAUCUCCCUACAGACCCUACUGAUUACAGAUGCUUAUAUUACUGUGUCCAGGGUUUCUAUUCAUUCUGGGCAUCUGAACUCAGGUCAUGUAGGCUUGUUUAGGAAGUGCCUUGACAGCUAAGAUUUUAAAUUUACACAGAAAUCUGAAGUUUAUUUUAUAAUUAUGGGUCAAUCAACUCUAAGAACCAGAUAAAACAAAACAGACAAAGAACACAUCCAAAAUUAAUCUCAGAACAUUCCUAAAUACAAAACAAAGUUCUCUGGAAUGUUUACUUUCCCCUAAGUCAAUAGAUUAUAACAUACAAAAUAAGAUUCAUUAAGUAAAUGAUCAUAGCAUACAGAAAUAAGAUUCAUUGUUUAAAGUAUUGGAAGAAAAUAAUAAAGAGCAAGAUCAGACCACCGAAGGCUAAAAUACAAAGACAAAAGGGUUUGGGCAUGAAGUGUUAGCUCAGCGCUUGUUCUUGCCGAGGAAAUGGGUUAGAUUGCCAGCCCCCACAUAAUGGCACAAAAAGAUCUAUAACUCCAGUUCUGGUGUACCUGACACGCUCUUGGACCUCCAUGAGUAUCAAGCAUGCACAUGGUAUAUUGCACAUUCAUGUGAGCAAAACACUUGUGUAUAUAAAAGAAAUAAAAACAAAAAGGGGGGGGGAUGAGGUUUUCUUUAAAACAAUAAAAAGCUAAGAGCAACAACAACAAAAACCAUGGGUUGAAAGCUAGUACAGUGUGGUACUAUAGAGAUGGCUCAGCAGUUAGGAACUCUCAGAGGACCUGGGUUUAUUUCCCAGCACCAACAUGGUGGUGGUUUACAAACAUUCAUAACUCUAGUUCCAGGGGAUAUGAUGCUACUUCUGAUCACCCUGGACACCAGGCAUGCCUGUGAUGCACAUACUUUCAUAUAGACCAAGCACUCACACACAUAAGAAAUAAAUAUAACUAGGCAUAGUGGCAUACAGUGAGGUUCAGACCAGCCAGAGAUACAAGUAAGCAAGCAGAAUAUUAAAAAUAAAAAUCACUACAGUGGAAUUUAAAACGUAACUUUUAAACAGUAUUGCAUGUAGUAAGAGUUUGUGAAAAUCUGAAGAAGCCAUGAAUCACUCAUCUCUAAGUUGGAAGUGUUUAAGGCACUAAGAAAGGACAGAUAGAAAAAAACAACUACUAUGUGUUUAACUACUCUGUGUUUACUAUGUGUUUAAUGAUAGGUAGGUAGAAAA